rnacentral:rRNA from 1 species
AAAAAGAGUGACGAAUGGAGAACUAGGGUGCACUAAAGAGGACGGAGCCCCCCGAAAUGGCGGAGGAGAGACUUUGAAGCCCUAAUGUCCCGCGCGGCAACGCAGCGGGGGGGCCAGGGGAGCGAAACAUCCCAGUACCGGGCCCCCCACCCCCCCCUCCCACCCCAUAGUGGGUGUUUAGGGGGGGGGCACAGUAAAAAUCAAACGAGAUUCCGUAAGUAGCGGCGAGCGAAAGCGGACGAGCCCUUUCCUGUAGGCCCCCCGGCCCUGGCCGGGGGGCGGGCGAGUAGUGAUGGGAAGAUGGGUGUCCACACAUCCAAGGCUUAACAAUUAGUGUCACACCGAAAGAGAGGAGUACUGUAAAGGAAAGUUGAAAGAGGCUUGAAAAGACCUUGAAAUGAGUCACUUAAAGCAGUUGUAACACAACGUACCUUUUGCAUAAUGGGUCCACGAGAUAAAAUUUGGCAAACUUAAAGUGCAAUCUCACAGCCACCCCGCUGCGUUAUCGCGCGGGGAUGGCUGGGGGGAUUGUUCUUGGCCCCCUAAGGUGUAGUGAAAGCAAGGGGGGGGGAAUACCCCCACCCCUCAGUCAAAUUUCCCGAAACCAAGUGAUCUAGCCAUGGGCAGUUUUUAGGAACGAACCGGUGGUUGUUGCAAAAAUCUCGGAUGACCUGUGGUUAGGGGCGAAACGCCAAUCGAACUUGGAGAUAGCUGGUUUUCUGCGAAAACUAUUGAAGUAGUGCGUGCACAGUAAUGAGAGCCCCGCCCCCUUCGGAGGCAGGGGCGUGAGAAUGGCUUGGAAUGUGGUAAAGCCCGACCCCCCGAAGCCGGGGGAUUAACUAUGAAGAAAAAAAGCCAGAGUGGCACAGACAGACUGUGGGCGAUAAGGUCGACGGUCAAAAGGGGAGAAGCCCUAACCAGAAGUUAAAGUCAUUAAUAAAAGAUUUAGUGUAAAAGAGAUAUUGGGUUUAGACAAUGAAGAAGUAGGCUUGGAGCCAGCCACCUUUGAGAGAUGACGUAGCAGUUCACUCAAGAAAUUCUUUUAUCUCUAAAAUUAUGGUGGCUAAAGUUGAACUGAAACUCUGGGGGCGAAAUAACAAGGUGGGGUUCCCCUAGAUUAUGCAACCCUCAAGGGGGUUCUAUAAAGCUUAUGGGAACGAACCCCCCGCUCGCUCUCUAAUGUUAGAGAGCGGCCUCCUUACCAUUAAGGGGGGUAUAUUUGCCCGGUAGCAGAACGUACUGUUAAUUGUUCAGUGAGAGCCCGCACGGCAUCAGAAGUGAUAAUGUGGACAUGAGUAAAAAAUCAUAGCAUCACUCCCCCCCUGGUUUCCCAUAUUAAUUAUGGGGUUAAACAGCCCCUAAAAUCGCAGCCCCAAAGGUUGCGUUGAUGGGGGGCCAUGAGUAAUAGACGCACAAAGUGCCAGGAAAGAAUUAUUCAAGCUCUUCCCAGAAGGCCUCCUUCUGGCAAGGGUACUGUACUAAACUAACUAAAGUGGGGGAUAGUGAGGGGAUAAAUUUUCUUAAGGAACUCGGCAAAAUCCCAAUGGCCCACCAGGGCAUAUUGGAACACGGGCCUCGACUGUUUACCAAAAACAUAGCCCUCGGCUAAUAUGAAAAUAGAUGUAUAGAGGGUGAUGCCUGCCCAAUGGUUGUAUCUAAAAGCGGUUGAUAAAAGUCGACCUCGUAAGGACAAUUGAAUGGCCGCGGUAACACUGACCGUGAUAAUGUAGCGUAAUCAAUAGCCAAUUAAUUGUUGGCCAGUAUGAAUGGCGCCACGAAGGCCCCACUGUCUUAAGGAAAUUCCCAGUGAAAUUGAAUUCGUAGUGAAGAUGCUACGUCCAAUUUGUUAGACGAAAAGACCCCGUUGAGCUUUACUGGGGCACUUACACGGCCCCGGCCUUCCCGUGUCCGGGAACCGGCCGAAUUUAAAUGGGUGGUUUAGACUAUGUGGCAGCCCCCCGCCGGGGCAGAUGAAACCCCACUCCCCCAUGUCAAAGGGGCUAACCCCCUCUUGGGGGGGAGAGUGUAAGUAGGACAGUUUGGUUGGGGCGACCGCCUUUUAAAGAGUAACGAAGGUGCGCUUAAGGUGCGCAAUUAAUGACUGAAGCCUGACUGCGAGGGGGACACCCCGAGCAGACACCCCUAAGCCCGCCCGAAGGGCGGCGGUGGGGUGGGCCAUAGUGACCCGUUAAUUUAGAGUGGAAUAGUUAACGAUCAACGAAUAAAAGUUACCACGGGGAUAACAGCGUAAUAUCGUUAGAGAGUUCACAUCGACGACGAUGUUUGCGACCUCGAUGUUGAAUUGCGGCAUCCUGGGGUGCAGCCGCUCCCAAGGGUUGGUCUGUUCGUCCAUUAAAGCCGUACAUGAUUUGAGUUAAAAGCGUGGUAACACAGCUUGGUUUCUAUCUACAAAUUGAAGAAACAUCGAUAUAACUAUCUUCUAGUACGAAAGGACCGAAGGAUUAGUGAUCCUCUUAUUUUUUAUAAGUUACGAUCAACCCAUUGAUCAUCGAACCCUAGGGUUCGAUAGGUCUCUCAGCUAAUCACUGACCGCUUCUAAAGUGGGAAAGUCAUAUCGAAAUGUUUGGGCCCAUUAUAGGGGGGCUAAACCCCACCAUCACGAGCCCGCUAUAGCGGCCUCCUAAGGAGGGGAUGGUGUAGAAGCAGCAACGCGGCUUCCCAUCCUUUUAAAGAG